GCCAGGCAUGGUGGUGAGUGCCUGUAGUCCCAGCUACCUGGGAGGCUGAGGUGGGAGGACUGCUUGAGCCCAGGAGUUCAAGACUGCAGUGAGCCAUGAUCGUGCCACUGCACUCCAGCCUGGGCAACAGAGCAAGACCUCAGCUCAA
rnacentral:SRP_RNA from 1 species